rnacentral:rRNA from 1 species
AGGACGAACGCUGGCGGCGUGCCUAAUACAUGCAAGUCGAACGGUCUUUCUAUGGAAGCUUGCUUCCACUGAGGAGAUAGUGGCGAACGGGUGAGUAACACGUGGGUAACCUGCCCAUAAGAGGGGGAUAACAUCCGGAAACGGGUGCUAAUACCGCAUAGUUUUCUUGAUCGCAUGAUCGGGAAAGGAAAGACGGCCUUUGUGCUGUCGCUUAUGGAUGGACCCGCGGCGUAUUAGUUAGUUGGUGAGGUAACGGCUCACCAAGACGAUGAUACGUAGCCGACCUGAGAGGGUGAUCGGCCACAUUGGGACUGAGACACGGCCCAAACUCCUACGGGAGGCAGCAGUAGGGAAUCUUCCGCAAUGGACGAAAGUCUGACGGAGCAACGCCGCGUGAGUGAAGAAAGGUUUUCGGAUCGUAAAACUCUGUUGUCAGAGAAGAACAAGUUGGAGAGUAACUGCUCCAGCCUUGACGGUAUCUGACCAGAAAGCCACGGCUAACUACGUGCCAGCCGCCGC